CGGGCUAUGACCCCAGGGCGGCUGCUGCUGCUGCUGGGGGCGCUGGGGGCGCCGCUCGCCCCUGGCGCCCGCGGCACGGAGGCGGAGGGCCGGCUCCGCGAGAAGCUUUUCUCGGGCUAUGACAGCUCGGUGCGGCCGGCGCGGGAGGUGGGGGACCGUGUCGGGGUCAGCAUUGGCCUCAGCCUGGCGCAGCUCAUCAGCCUGAACGAGAAGGAUGAGGAGAUGAGCACAAAGGUGUACUUAGACCUGGAGUGGACUGACUACAGGCUGAGCUGGGACCCCGCGGAGCACGACGGCAUCGAUUCACUCCGCAUUACGGCUGGAUCCGUGUGGCUUCCGGACGUGGUACUCCUAAACAACAACGACGGAAAUUUUGACGUUGCUCUGGACUUGAACGUCGUGGUGUCCUCCAAUGGUUCCGUGCGCUGGCAGCCUCCCGGCCUCUACCGUAGCAGCUGCAGCAUCCAGGUCACCUACUUCCCCUUCGACUGGCAGAACUGCACGAUGGUGUUCAGUUCCUACAGCUACGACAGCUCCGAGGUCAGCCUGCGGGCCGGCUUGGGUCCUGAUAAGCAGGAGCGGCAGGAAGUGCACAUUCAUGAAGGCACCUUCAUUGAGAAUGGCCAAUGGGAAAUUAUCCACAAGCCUUCUCGGCUAAUCCAGCCUCCAGCGGAUCCUAGGGGAGGGGGGGAAGGACAGCGGCAAGAAGUCACCUUCUACCUCAUCAUUCGCCGGAAGCCUCUCUUCUACCUGGUCAAUGUCAUUGCCCCAUGCAUCCUCAUCACUCUCCUGGCCAUCUUCGUCUUCUACCUGCCGCCAGAUGCAGGAGAGAAGAUGGGGCUGUCCAUCUUUGCGCUGCUGACCCUUACCGUGUUCCUGUUGCUGCUGGCAGACAAAGUUCCUGAGACCUCCCUGUCUGUCCCCAUCAUUAUCAAGUACCUCAUGUUUACCAUGGUCCUCGUCACUUUCUCAGUCAUCCUUAGCGUCGUAGUCCUCAACCUGCACCAUCGCUCACCCCACACCCACCAAAUGCCCGUUUGGGUCCGCCAGGUAAGAUGUUCUCCUCCGACCUGUGUUAACUUUCAGUCCUGGUGUUCGUUUUUUUGUGUGUGCAGGUAUCACUCCUGCAACCCGCCUACCAACUUCAACCUUCCCUUUCUCAGACCUAAGGGAGAACUGCAACUCCUGGUGGAAUGUUCUAGUGCCGGGGCCUGUUGGAUGUUGAAACGUUGCGCAGUUAACUUUACCCUCCCGACACUGUCAUGUCAUAGAUUCCUUACUUUCUUCGUCAGUACUGCUCAUACUGGGUCUCAGGGAAACAUUCAUUCCCAGGGCCAGGUCCUGUCAGGGUGGAAGCCCUCGGAACUUUCCUUUCCAGCCGGGACGCCUCGCAACCCACUUAGGAGCUCUGGAGGCUGUGUGGCUGGGGGGACGCGCGCACGCAUGCGCGGGGAUGGGCAGGUGGAUGGGAACGGCGGGCCGCUUCCCUUGCGGUCUGAAAGCGUGAGAGCCCCCGCCAACACGCCUUUCUACUCAGCAGAUCUUCAUCCACAAACUCCCUCUAUACCUGGGUCUGAAGAGGCCCAAACCUGAGAGAGACCUGAUGCCGGAGCCACCUCCUGUAGCCCUCAGGGAUUCUCCAGGAAGUGGCUGGGGUCGGGGAACAGAUGAAUAUUUCAUCCGGAAGCCACCGAACGAUUUUCUCUUCCCUAAACCCAACAGGUUCCAGCCUGAACUGUCUGCCCCGGACCUGCGGCGACUUACCGAUGGUCCAACCCGGGCUGUGGGCCUGCCUCCCGAACUACGGGAGGCCGUUUCCUCCAUCAGCUACAUCGCUCGGCAGCUGCAGGAGCAGGAAGACCGCGACGCGCUGAAAGAAGACUGGCAGUUCGUGGCCAUGGUAGUGGAUCGCCUUUUCCUGUGGACCUUCAUCAUCUUCACGAGCGUUGGGACCCUCGUCAUCUUCCUGGACGCUUCGUACCACUUGCCCCCUGCCGACCCCUUUCCUUGAGGACAGAGGGCCAAGACGCAGGUCCUCGGCCAGCUGAACUGAGAUUUGGUCAGCGCUGACAAGGCCUGUGCCUUUCUGCCUCUUGACUCCACUAGGAAUCCAGGCUUCCCAUAUCGUUGCCUUUCUGGGGAGAGCGCCCAAGUGGGACGGGGCCGACUGAAGCCCUGGGCCCCACCAGAAAUGCACUAUCGGUUUAUUUAUUCUUUGGCUUCUUGUAGAAGUUCCUUUGGAUAUCAACACUAGGUUGCCGGUAGAAUGGAACAAAGAAGUAGACUGUAAGCCCUAGGAGGGCAGGAACUGCGUCCUGUUCACUGUCAUACCCCAGUACCUAACACAGGCCCUGACCUAUAGGAUAGUAGGUGCUUCACAUUUGUUGAGUGAUUAGAGAAUUUUUUUUUUUCCUGGAAGGAACUACAUCAGUUCCUUCCUUCCAGUAGUGCUUAUGUUUGCAUGUUGGGACUAGGUGGUCAUUCUUUUUGUUUUUACUUUCCUGUAAUUUAUUGUUUUGUAAUAAGUGUUAUCCUUAGGAUUAAAAAAAAAAAAGGUUAUUUCUAAAAGGAUGCAUUUGUAAUGAGGGGGGAAAAGAGCACUUUAAAAAACCCUCAUUCAGGUUCCAGCUUUGGUGCUCAAACUUUGGAUAAGGUACCAAGCCGCUCUGGGCCUGAGAUUCCAUGACUGUAAAAUGAAGCUAAGAAUAGUAUCUGUCCCCAAGUCUGAAGGUCACAUGAGAAGAUGGGAGCAAAAGCUCUACACAGUAUACAUCAGAGUUUGCAAACUGGUGUGUUUGUGUGACCUGUGUUGUUGGCCUGCACAAUUUUUAGUGUGAGUUAGCUAGUUUAAAAAUCUGGAUAUUGCACAGAGGAAUUUGGAUUUCUGGCUUCUCUUGGGAAAAAAAAAAAAAUUAAACUACAGUAACACCGGGCCUGAUUCCCCUGUUGGCAGCAGCCUGCUAGUGCUGAUCAGUGUGACGGCCCACCCUGGUCAAGGUAUUUGCACCAGAACUCCUCAAAGCCCCCACCCAGCCGACCAGCUUGGCUCAUUUCACUUGCCCGUUCCUCCGUAACAUUAGACAAAAUCAAGGGGAGGGGUGGGGAGAUGAGUUGAAGGCAAUGAGAGGCUAGUAGUAGAAAAAGAAAGGUGGUGGUAUCUCACGACCAUCCCUCACUUUAUGCCCAUUUCUUUUCGAUUUGGAGAGCGGGUCGCACCAGGUGUAAGGCGCACCGGACAUUAGGAUCUUGUGCCCAGCAGGCUGUGCGAACUGGGCUGAGUUAAUGUUUCUGCCUGGAGGUCAGACCAAAGUCAGCUUGAGCCCUAGUGGCUGCAGCCGUUACAGUGACGUACGCAGGGUCACCAAGCCCUCACACCUCCUCAGCUGCUGGAGGCUGUGCCCUCAGAAGGAUCAUACAGCCGCAGCUCCCAGGAUCUCUGGGAGACAAGGUAAGCAUGUCCCUGUCCAGCCGACUCCCCAGCCACGCAAAGAAGUGCACUUGGCAUCCCAGUGCGGAGCACAGUUUGUUUGUCUUGUUGGUUUAUUGGCCUAGAGAAUUGGACACACACACAGAUGCGGAGAUAAAUAUUGGUCAGUUUCUCUAAAUCUGGGUCCUCACUACGUAUAGAGCUAGUCUGUAGGAUUCUAAACCUUGCGUGCUGUAGCACAGAACCAGUGGCCUUUCCACUCCACCAUCACCCUUCUCCCCAGAGAACAUGGGGAAAGAGGGCACAAACUGACAAGACUUGAAUAAUUUUCAAAAGACGGAAUUGCAAAAUCCCAAAUUUCCAACAUCUGAAAUUCACAAUAUUCAAGUUCCCCAGCUCGGAUACACGUAUUUCAAUCUCCAAUUUGCCACGAUCUCAUUUGUUGCCCAGAACCACCAAAUUCUGGAAGCUAGUUUCCUAAAUCAUAUUUUCAAAAAAAUAAGUGUCUACGAUCUCAGUUCUCCCGAAAAUGUCUGUGGUUUUGGAAUUUUGACCUGUUCUGAAAUUCAAAUCCCCCGGUCCAUCCUCAACUCCUUCCGUUUCCUGUGCCUUUCUGCCUCAGAGGAGUGCAGGUUAAGGAUAUAGGAGAGCUGUCAACAUGUCUGCCCCCUGCCUCCAAGGCUCUGUCUCCCUUGUGGUUCCGCUGUGUGUGUGCGUGUGUGUGUAUGUGUGUGUGUGUGUAUAUAUAUAUGUGUGUGUGUGUAUAUAUAUAUAUAAAAUUUGUGUGUAGAUAUAUAUAUAUAUGUAUUCUUUAUUAUGUUCUUUUUUCGCAGUUUUUCUAAAGUGCCAGAAACGAGAUUUGUGGGA